UAAACAUUUAAAAAAUAAAAUUAAAAUAAAAUAAAAACUUCAACCAUUACAGAAACAUGUGGAGUAAAACGUGAACAUUCCCUUGCCUUUCUCUCUGCGGAGUUAACCACAGUUACCCGCGUAGCACAGAUCCUCCUAGACUUUUUUCCGCCAUGGCCCUGCUCAAAUGUUCACCCUUUCAUGUGGCCUUCCCAUGUCUCAGGUCCCGUAUCUUCCUGCUCUUUUCUCCCUUGGCACUUUAUAUGGGAAGACAACAGGUCAAGGGGGCUGACGGCAAAGGGAAGCAGGUGCCUCUGUGGGCCGGUCAUGGGUGCAGGGCAGCAAUUCAGAGCCUCUCAUGCUUUGGAGCAGGAAACCUCUGAAGAGCCACUUAUGGAACUGCCCACCCCAGCACCCAACUGACAAAGAGAACCAGUGUGGCCGGGAUGUUCAUGGGAAAAGAGCCAGAAUGUAAACCUUAUAGAACAAAUUUUAAAUGUAUUUGGUCAUUUGAUUGUUUAUUCAUUCAUUCAUUCAUUCAUUUUGAGAGAGAAAGCACACCCGAGCCAGCGCAGAGCCUGAUGCGGGGCUCGAACUCAUGAACCGGGAGAUCAUUGGUCCUUUAAUUGCUUUAAUCGAGGCAUAAUGUACAUAUGGUAACAUACACAAAUCUUGAGUAUACAACUUGAAGAUUUUCACACACACACACACACACACACACACACACACACACACAUGCUGCUACCAACCAGACAAGGAACAUUUCCAAUACCCAGGGCGGUCUCCCCAUCCCGAGGAAGCCACUCUUCUAACCGGUAUCGCCAUCUAUUCACUUGGGCUGUUCUUGGAUCUCAUCUAAAUGGCAUCUCGCAGCACAUUGUAUCGUAGGUCUGCCGUCUUUUGAUCAUCACUGCAUCUGUGAAAUUCCUCCAGGUUGUUGCACAUGAACAAUAACAAUUUUUAUUGCUGAGUGCUGUCCCACCGUGGGACCAUAUCACGAUUUAUUUAUGCUUCCUACUGCUGAUGGACAUUUGUCGCGUUUCCAGUUUGGGGUGGUUAUGAAUAAAGCUGUCCGGAUUGUUCUGUGCUUGUUAUUAUUAUUUUUGGUGGGCCUUCGUGCUCGUUUCUCUGGUGGAUCUAUCUAGCAGUGGGAUUGCUCGCUGGCUCAUGAUUUGUUCCUUAAGGAAAUGUCCAGAAGGAUUUGCAGGGAUUUGCCCCUGGCCAUGAAUGCCGAGGCCACAAAAGAUGCUGUAGGAAGACCGUGGAAGAGUGAGAAGGAGUGCCCGACAAGGUCAUCCCCCUCUCUGGAAGGGGCGAGCAACCAGAGGCUGAGCUAAAGAGCCCCCCGCCCCAAGACUGCAGAGGGGGUCUCUUCCCAGUCCCCGCUGCUGGGGACCGAGGUUGAGCGGCCCACUCCAAGGCCAGCAUUUCACUGACUUUCCUGGCUGUUUAUCUCCACCUUGUGACUCGGCCCCACAGCUCAGCGACUGAUCUGGGGGAGUGAGUUCAUACCCUCAGAGCUGCAGACAGGCUUGUUCAGCUCAGGCCACAGUCUGUUCCUGCCUAGAGACGGACUUUGAGUUUUCAGGAAUUAGCCCCGAUCAGCAGGAAGCCAGGGAACAAAUCAGCGGCCACAGUCACAGAGGGACCAGAGCUCCUGAGGCGCUCAGCUUGUGGUACCACCGGGGCCAGCAAAUCAGAGUCUGAGAGUGAAGGAGGCAGUAAUCUCCCCAGAAAGCGGAUGGAGAUUGCCUUCCACGCCCAGCGCCUCCCACCUGCCUGGGCUCAGUCUGGGACGCUGGAGGCUUUGAGCAGCACCUAGAGCCUAGAGAGCACUUCCCUCAACCAGACACACCUCAGUGUCGCUGGAGGCGGCCCGGAAGCGAUUUCAGAGACCAUGUUACUUACAGUCAUCAGUCUGACAGCCCCCUGCCGCAGUCCAGCUCCAGCAGGUACGGGGGUUCCCGAAGGAUGAACGGCGUCGACGAAAAAGUGAAAAUAAAACAAAACUAAAACAGAAAUAAAAAUAAAAAACUAAAAUAAAAACGGACACAGACGACAGCAGUGUGUUGAACUGGCCCCUUUAUUGCAGUAAACGUGGCAUAAUAUAUGCUAGUGUUUUCCUUGUAACGUACGUCAUCUAUGUUUUUCUAACAUUACCCGAUUCUAAAAUUGUUCCUUUGCAUAGUCACCCAAUGAGGAAUAACAUGAUUGUUUUGUCAUAACGUUCCCUCCUGCCCUUUGCUUAUUGAUUAAUUUCUUUUCUUGUUUUUAUUAUGUAUCUGUGUUCAUCUAUAAUUUAUAAAGUAUUUGCUUUGCUGUUUUCACGAAAGGCCAUUUAUCUCUCAACACCUCAAGUGGAACAGUUACAGGGACACGACCUCUUAGUUGUUUCCCUGAACCAUUCGUGGUUUUGAAGCAAAGUGUUCGCCUGGGUCCGAGGUGCCAGGAAGGGGGCCAAGAGGGCCUUAGAAACCCAUGCCUUAUACAUUCUCAGACAGACAAUGCACCUAGGAACCAAUGAACCAUUCUGUACUUUAACCGACUAGGUUCAGUCAUCAUCUGGAAUGCCUCCUGGGGGCCAAGUGGACCCAGGGGUCAGAGGGACCUGUGUCCAAAGAUACACUCCUUAGUUACCAGAGUGGGGCUUUCGGAUCCAUGUCUCUCCUUCGUUGGCCGCCUUUGCUGGCAAAUGUAUGAGGCUAUCCUUCCUGGGGCCUGCCGAGGGCAGUUCCCCAACAGACGAUACCCCAGGUACUUUUAAGGCCAAAUUACCUGAAAGCGGGAGGACAAGAAGCUUCACUGUCGUCGGGCCGCCCUGCAGUCACCAAUCCGUCCACAGCCCGGGCCCUGCCACUCAGGCUGGGAUAGCUCGGCUUCCAGCAGCCCCCAGUGCAGGCCCUGGUGUUGAUGGAAAGGCAGCUGGAGGAAGUGGCCGAUGACAGUCACCAUCAACCAGGCCAUGGAGCCUAAGCCCCAGCCCUGCCAGUGACUUCUCGAUGACUCUGCGUCACUUUCCCUCUGGAACCAGAGUUUGUUCGUGGGUACAAUGGGCUCACACUGGGUGCGUCCCUGUGUACACCCAGAGCGACUUUGAGAACCACCUAAUUGCUGUUGCUCGCCAGAAAGAGAAAAUAUGGCUCUGUAAAUAUAAAAUGGGAUAUCAGGCCUCAGCAAUUGUUUACGGUCGGAGUGAGAGAAUGAUCCGUGAAGCGGCUUCGGCUGGCUGCCCAGCCAGGACAAGCCCCACCCAUGGGCCUCAUGGUCCUCUACCCCCUUCCCAGCCAGAGAACAGGUGCCUGGGGCACGGCCUCUGCCUGUGAGGGUGGGGGCAUGGCCCUGAGCACAGGUGUGAUGAGAGUUGUGGGGAACCAAACACGAAGGCGUCUCCUUCAGGGCCAUUGAGUCACAGGGCCAUUGAGUCACUCUCCUGAGCACACGCUCUGUGCCAUCCUGGCUUUCAAGGCCCAGCUCAGGCACCUCACCAGCACCCUUUCCCCAGCCGGAAGCCCUCACACUGUCCCUCCAGCUCCCACGGGCCCGUCCAAGCUUUCUGCUGUGGCACAGGGAGAAGAGUAUGGGACAGAAAUCUGAAGAUCUGAGUCUGAUCGUGGCUGUCUCUCCAGCUGGCUUUUCGUCGUGGCUGACAAAUUCCUCCUCGAAGAGCCAACCCAAAUGCUGUCUCCUCUGACGCCUCUCGCUCUCCUCUGCGAGCUGGCCUUCCCCCGAACCCCAGCGACUCCAGGGUGCUAUCUCAAUGAUCCCAGAAUCAACAGCAUUUUGUCUCCUCCGCCAGACUGUGGGUCCCGGGGAGCACAUCACCUCCUCCUCCUCCUCCUCCUCCUCCUCGCUGACACCCCAGUGCACUGCCAGCUGUUUGCAGACAAGAGAAGGUGAAGUCAGUGGGAUUAAACACAAGGAGAGCAUUGUGCGGAUGGGACAGUCAAGAUGUUCUUCCGUUUCAGCGGUGCAACAUGUGAGGAUGUAACCUCACAGAGCCCAGACCUAGGGCCCAUAGCAGCGGAGCGGAGAGAGUUAAGCAUCUCCCUUAACUCCUAUCUCUCUCGGCCAUGGCCCUCCCAAACCCUGGGGGUUCCCGUGUGGUGGCUGUACCCAGCUGCUCCUGCUGGCACUUGGAAAGGGCCACUAAGCAGAUCGGGGAGGGGAGGGGUGGCCAACGUACCAGCGGAUCUCCUGAGUGAGCUAAUGAUGAAUCCCCCCCCCAGCCCCCCCACCCCCGCCAGUAGAGGCUUUGUGACCCAGCUGGGGGCAAGGGAGGCCAGGAUCGCAGGCUGAUGCUGUGCUGUGCAACCCGACAUAUGGGAAAACAGACACAAUGAAGCAAUCUGCCCCAGAAGGGUCCCAGGCCUCAGGAAUGCGGGCACAGAGGGGGCUGGGGCAGGGAGACACUUGGGAAGGAGCAGGUAAAUGGAAAUCAGCACUGUGCCACACGCAGAGAGCCUGGGGGAGAACCACAGACUUGAGCAGUUUCCCAAAACUGCCUGGGCAUUAGAAUCACCUGGAGGCUUUUACCUGUCUUGUUAUGAAAGAGUUUAUUUUCUUUCUGUAGCGCCAUACCUAAAAAAAGAUGGGUAGUAACAUUAAAAAAAAAACAAAAACAAAAAACAAC